GCCAGGCGUGGUGGCUCACGCCUGUAAUCCCAGCUCUUUGGGAGGCAGAGGCAGGUGGAUCACCUGAGGUCAGGAGUUCGAGACCAGCCUGGCCAAGAUGGUGAAAUCCCGUCUCUA
rnacentral:SRP_RNA from 1 species